rnacentral:tRNA from 1 species
UCCCUGGUGGCUGAGCAGUAAAGAGUCUGCUUGCAAUGCGGAAGGCCCAGGUUCGAUCCCUGGGUUAGGAA